AGGAUUAACGCUGGCGGCGUGCCUAACACAUGCAAGUCGAACGAGGUAGCAAUACCUAGUGGCAGACGGGUGAGUAACGCGUGGUCAACCUACCGUUGAGUGGGGGAUAACUAGCCGAAAGGUUAGCUAAUACCGCAUACGAGUCUCGGGGGCAUCCCUGAGCCUUAAAAGGAGCAAUCCGCUCGAUGACGGGACCGCGUCCCAUUAGCUAGAUGGUGGGGUAACGGCCUACCAUGGCACCGAUGGGUAGCUGGUUUGAGAGAGCGACCAGCCACACUGGGACUGAGAAACGGCCCAGACUCCUACGGGAGGCAGCAGUGAGGAAUUUUCCGCAAUGGGCGAAAGCCUGACGGAGCGACGCCGCGUGUGGGAAGAAGGCCUUCGGGUCGUAAACCACUGUCGAAGGGGACGAUAAUGACGGUACCCUUGGAGGAAGCCCCGGCUAACGUACGUGCCAGCAGCCGC
rnacentral:rRNA from 1 species